AGUGAACGCUGGCGGUAGGCCUAACACAUGCAAGUCGAACGGCAGCACAGUAAGAGCUUGCUCUUACGGGUGGCGAGUGGCGGACGGGUGAGGAAUAAAUCGGAAUCUACUUUUUCGAGGGGGAUAACGUAGGGAAACUUACGCUAAUACCGCAUACGACCUACGGGUGAAAGCAGAGGAUCUUCGGACCUUGCGCGAUUGAAUGAGACGAUGUCGGAUUAGCUAGUUGGCGGGGUAAAGGCCCACCAAGGCGACGAUCCGUAGCUGGUCUGAGAGGAUGAUCAGCCACACUGGAACUGAGACACGGUCCAGACUCCUACGGGAGGCAGCAGUGGGGAAUAUUGGACAAUGGGCGCAAGCCUGAUCCAGCCAUACCGCGUGGGUGAAGAAGGCCUUCGGGUUGUAAAGCCCUUUUGUUGGGAAAGAAAAGCAGCAGGUUAAUACCCCGCUGUUCUGACGGUACCCAAAGAAUAAGCACCGGCUAACUUCGUG
rnacentral:rRNA from 1 species